rnacentral:rRNA from 1 species
GACGAACGCUGGCGGCGUGCUUAACACAUGCAAGUCGAGCGGUAAGGCCCUUUCGGGGGUACACGAGCGGCGAACGGGUGAGUAACACGUGGGUGACCUGCCCUUAGCUCUGGGAUAAGCCUGGGAAACUGGGUCUAAUACCGGAUAUGACUCCAUAACGCAUGUUGUGGGGUGGAAAGCCUUGUGCGGCUAGGGAUGGGCCCGCGGCCUAUCAGCUUGUUGGUGGGGUGAUGGCCACCAAGGCGACGACGGGUAGCCGGCCUGAGAGGGCGACCGGCCACACUGGGACUGAGACACGGCCCAGACUCCUACGGGAGGCAGCAGUGGGGAAUC